GGUUUCCUGGUGUAAUGGCUAGCACUGCGGAUUCUGAGUCCCCCCCGGACAAUAUUGUGGGCACUAAAAAAGAGUGGUUACGCAAAUUGGACCACCGGGAUGGAGGAGACUUCCGCCAAUCUGGGUUCGAUUCCCAGGGAGACCU